rnacentral:rRNA from 1 species
UACGGGGGGGGGCAAGCGUUGUUCGGAAUUACUGGGCGUAAAGGGUGCGUAGGCGGUUCGCUAAGUUGGAUGUGAAAACUCUGGGCUUAACCCAGAGCCUGCAUCCAAUACUGACGAGCUAGAGUUCUGGAGGGGGUAGCGGAAUUCCUGGUGUAGCGGUGAAAUGCGUAGAUAUCGGGAGGAACACCUAUGGCGAAGGCAGCUCGCUGGGACGUUACUGACGCUGAGACGCGAAAGCGUGGGGAGCAAACAGG